rnacentral:lncRNA from 1 species
UCAAAUUUUGAAAGUACUUGGAUAAUUAGGUGUUCUAAGUGUAUGUAAAAUUUUAUUGUAAUCCACUGGUGAAAUUGACAGAUAUCUAGAUUUUAGUAUAAGAACAUAUCAGAAGUUGGCAAUUUGGGAUUGAAUAGGAUUUUUGUGAUAUCUAGAGAUCUACUAGUCAGAUCAAGAUGAAUUUUGAUAUUAUAUUGAAAGACUUGAAGAUCAAG